rnacentral:rRNA from 1 species
AUUGAACGCUGGCGGAAUGCUUUACACAUGCAAGUCGAACGGUAGAGGGGGCAACCCCUUGAGAGUGGCGAACGGGUGAGUAAUAUAUCGGAACGUGCCCAGUCGUGGGGGAUAACGUAGCGAAGGUUACGCUAAUACCGCAUACGAUCUACGGAUGAAAGCGGGGGACCGUAAGGCCUCGCGCGAUUGGAGCGGCCGAUAUCAGAUUAGGUAGUUGGUGGGGUAAAGGCUCACCAAGCCAACGAUCUGUAGCUGGUCUGAGAGGACGACCAGCCACACUGGAACUGAGACACGGUCCAGACUCCUACGGGAGGCAGCAGUGGGGAAUUUUUGGACAAUGGACGCAAGUCUGAUCCAGCCAUUCCGCGUGCAGGAUGAAGGCCCUCGGGUUGUAAACUGCUUUUGUACGGAACGAAAAGGUUUCCAUUAAUACUGGGAGCUCAUGACGGUACCGUAAGAAUAAGCACCGGCUAACUACGUG